rnacentral:tRNA from 2 species
GGAAAUAUGUCUGACAAAAGAAUUACUUUGAUAGAGUACAUAAUAGAGGUUAUUAACCCUCUUAUUUCUA